rnacentral:rRNA from 1 species
CCUCCUUGUGUCCUCCUUUCUUCCUCUUUUUCCCUUUUCUCCGUUCUGCCCCCGCCCCGUCGCGUGCGGGAAGACUGCCCUAUGGGUUGUAAACCUCUUUUAUAAGGGAAGAAUAAUGACUACGUGUAGUCAGAUGCCCGUACCUUAUGAAUAAGCAUCGGCUAACUCCGUGCCAGCAGCCGCGGUAAUACGGAGGAUGCGAGCGUUAUCCGGAUUUAUUGGGUUUAAAGGGUGCGUAGGCGGUAUUUUAAGUUAGUGGUAAAACGUCGGGGCUUCACCUUGAUUGGCCAUUAAAACUGGAGUACUAGAUUACAGACGAGGUAGGCGGAAUAAGUUAAGUAGCGGUGAAAUGCUUAGAUAUAACUUAGAACCCCGAUAGCGAAGGCAGCUUACCAGACUGUUACUGACGCUGAAGCACGAGAGCGUGGGUAGCGAACAGGAUUAGAUACCCCAGUAGUC